rnacentral:rRNA from 1 species
UACGGAGGAUGCAAGCGUUAUCCGGAAUGAUUGGGCGUAAAGCGUCCGUAGGUGGUUCUGUAAGUCUGUGGUUGAAGCGUGGAGCUCAACUCCAUAACGGCCAUGGAAACUACAAGACUAGAGUGAAGUAGGGGUAGAGGGAAUUCCCAGUGUAGCGGUGAAAUGCGUAGAGAUUGGGAAGAACACCGGUGGCGAAAGCGCUCUACUGGACUUAUACUGACACUGAGGGACGAAAGCUAGAGGAGCGAAAGGG